rnacentral:SRP_RNA from 1 species
AUAGUGGCUAGACUGGAGGGUUAGGAGUCCUCUGUAAGCACAAAUCUCCUAUGGUGUGGUCGAAAUUUAGGAGGCGGCUUUUGGAUUUAAUUAAGGCCUAAAAGGCUGAUAUAGAAGCUUCGUCCUGCAGGAUCAAUGGUGAUAGAAGGAUUACUGGAGGGUAAUUCUUAACUGUCUUUAUUGUGGGAACGUGUCAGGCCUGGAAAGGAGCAGCUCUACCAUUUACAGCUGAUGCUUGUAGAACCGCGAGGUGGAGUUAGUCUUUUAGAUAACCUUGAUUGAUGAAAAUUGUCCACUCCUUUAUGUGCCGUUUG